rnacentral:rRNA from 1 species
UACAGAGGUCUCAAGCGUUGUUCGGAUUCAUUGGGCGUAAAGCGCGCGUAGGCGGCUCGGAAAGUCGGUCGUGAAAUGCCGGGGCUCAACCCCGGGACUGCGUCCGAUACUCUCGAGCUGGAGGCAGGUAGGGGAGAUCGGAAUUCCUGGUGUAGCGGUGAAAUGCGCAGAUAUCAGGAGGAACACCGGUGGCGAAGGCGGAUCUCUGGGCCUUGCCUGACGCUGAGGCGCGAAAGCUAGGGGAGCGAACAGG